rnacentral:rRNA from 1 species
GGAGUUUGGACCGUGUCUCAGUUCCAAUGUGGGGGACCUUCCUCUCAGAACCCCUACUGAUCGCAGGCUUGGUGGGCCGUUACCCCGCCAACAACCUAAUCAGACGCAUCCCCAUCCUAUAGCGGUAAACCUUUGGUAUUCGUCAGAUGUCCUCAAAAUACAACAUAGGGUAUUAAUCCGCAUUUCUACGGGACUAUCCCUCUACUAAGGGGAAGGUUGGAUACGCGUUACUCACCCGUGCGCCGGUCGCCAGCAACAAUAGCAAGCUAUCGUCCUGCUGCCCCUCGACUUGCAUGUGUUAAGCCUGUAGCUAGCGUUCAUC